AUUGAACGCUGGCGGCAUGCCUUACACAUGCAAGUCGAACGGUAACAGGUCUUCGGAUGCUGACGAGUGGCGAACGGGUGAGUAAUACAUCGGAACGUGCCCGAUCGUGGGGGAUAACGAAGCGAAAGCUCUGCUAAUACCGCAUAAGAUCUAAGGAUGAAAGCAGGGGACCGCAAGGCCUUGCGCGAACGGAGCGGCCGAUGGCAGAUUAGGUAGUUGGUGGGAUAAAAGCUUACCAAGCCGACGAUCUGUAGCUGGUCUGAGAGGACGACCAGCCACACUGGGACUGAGACACGGCCCAGACUCCUACGGGAGGCAGCAGUGGGGAAUUUUGGACAAUGGGCGAAAGCCUGAUCCAGCCAUGCCGCGUGCAGGAUGAAGGCCUUCGGGUUGUAAACUGCUUUUGUACGGAACGAAAAGACUCUGGUUAAUACCUGGGGUCCAUGACGGUACCGUAAGAAUAAGCACCGGCUAACUACGUGCCAGCCGCCGCAGUAACAC
rnacentral:rRNA from 1 species